rnacentral:rRNA from 1 species
GGGGUGCAGCAGGCGCGAAACCUCUACAAUGCACGAAAGUGUGAUAGGGGGAUUCUACGUGCAGACUUUGUCUGCUUUUCUCAAGUCCAAAACGCUUGGGGAAUAAGGGCUGGGCAAGACCCGUGCCAGCCGCCGCGGUAACACGGGCAGCUCGAGUAGCGUUCGCGAAUAUUGGGCCUAAAGCGUACGUAGCCGGCUGAAAAAGUUCUUGGUGAAAGCAUGCGACUUAAUCGUGUGAAUUGCCAGGAAAACUAUUCGGCUUGGGACCGGGAUGGGUCGGAGGUAUUUCCGGGGUAGGGGUAAAAUCCUGUAAUCCAGGAAGGACCAUCGGUGGCGAAGGCGUCCGACUGGAACGGGUCCGACGGUGAGGUACGAAAGCUAGGGGAGCGACCCGGAUUAGAUACCCGGUUAGUCCUAGCCGUAAAUGAUGCAGGUUUGGUAUUGCACUUCUUACGAGGAAUUGCAGUGCCGUAGGGAAGCCGUUAAACCUGCCGCCUGGGGAGUACGGCCGCAAGGCUGAAACUUAAAGGAAUUGGCGGGGGAGUACUACAAGGGGUGGAGGCUGCGGUUUAAUUGGAUACAACGCCGGACAACUCAUCAGGGAAGACAGCACUAUGAUGGUCAGCCUAAAGGGCUUACUUGAGGCGCUGAGAGGUGGUGCAUGGCCAUCGCCAGCUCGUGCAGUGAUGUGUCCUGUUAAGUCAGGCAACGAGCGAGACCCGCACUUCCAGUUGCUA